CCUACCCCGCAGUGCGUGGGCCUCCUAAUCGCGAGUUAACGAGUUAACAACGUGAUUAGCCACCCAAACCGGAUCUGUUCUUCCACAAGAACAGACUUCCACAAGAACAGAUCUAAUCUGACUGCUAAGGGCACUGAAAGGGGUAGAAGCUCGUACCCACGUUCAGACCACAUGUCAUCAAAUUGAGAGUCUUUACUCUUGAUUUGGUGGUCAUAUUCUUCGCUGCUACUUCUACAUCAACAUCUUCACCAAUUUCAGAGGCAGAUCCAUGGAGGUUCAAGGCUCAGUGAAUUAUGCAAAUUUGCUGAGCACCAUUGAGCAUUAUGAUGGCACCAAUUUCCCUAGUUUGAAUAAGGAGGUGCUUGCCAUUCUCAAGGUUCUUGACCUUGAUGAUGCAUUUCGUGAGGACAAGCAUGUUGCUCCCAUUUUUUGGAACUGAGGGUUAUGAUGAGAAAAUAAGGGAAUACAACUCCAACUCAGAGAAUUGGGAGAGAUCUGAUAAGUUGGCAAAAAUGGUCGUUAGGCAUUCGAUCAUAAAUGCCUUAAGGGGAGCAUUUCCUAUUAAGGAAGAUGCCAGGGAACUAAGUGUUAAAGAGUUUCUAAACUCAAUUGAGGGAAGGUAUAAAGAUGAGUUAGCUAAUUUCCUCAUCACAAAGUUGUCAACCUCAUGUUAUGAUGGUCAAGGUGCAUUGAGCAUACAUAUUGUGAGCAUGAUUGACAUGGCCGCUGAGUUGAAAACACUUGGAAAGUCUAUCACUAAUGACCAACUUGUGAAAUUUAUAA